rnacentral:rRNA from 1 species
GUGGGGAAUAUUGGACAAUGGGCGAAAGCCUGAUCCAGCCAUGCCGCGUGUGUGAAGAAGGUCUUCGGAUUGUAAAGCACUUUAAGUUGGGAGGAAGGGCAGUAAGUUAAUACCUUGCUGUUUUGACGUUACCGACAGAAUAAGCACCGGCUAACUUCGUGCCAGCAGCCGCGGUAAUACGAAGGGUGCAAGCGUUAAUCGGAAUAACUGGGCGUAAAGCGCGCGUAGGUGGUUUUGUAAGUUGGAGGUGAAAUCCCCGGGCUCAACCUGGGAACUGCCUCCAAAACUGCAUGACUAGAGUACGGUAGAGGGUAGUGGAAUUUCCUGUGUAGCGGUGAAAUGCGUAGAUAUAGGAAGGAACACCAGUGGCGAAGGCGACUACCUGGACUGAUACUGACACUGAGGUGCGAAAGCGUGGGGAGCAAGCAGGAUUAGAUACCCUUGUAGUCC